UACAGAGGGUGCGAGCGUUGUCCGGAAUCACUGGGCGUAAAGGGCGCGUAGGCGGCUUGAUAAGGUUGCGGUGAAAGCCCGGGGCUCAACCCCGGGUCGGCCGUGGCAACUGUCGAGCUGGAGCACUGUAGAGGCAGGUGGAAUUCCGGGUGUAGCGGUGGAAUGCGUAGAGAUCCGGAAGAACACCGGUGGCGAAGGCGGCCUGCUGGGCAGUGGCUGACGCGA
rnacentral:rRNA from 1 species